GUGCUCAUGAAUUUAAAAAAAUAUUAUUGUAAAAGAAUCAAGGGCAGGAUGAAUAAAUCAGUGUAUAAAUGAAGAAGAUAAGGAGAAUGGAUGCACUGAGCUGAUUAUGAAUUUAGCCCUGAUGAAGACUUGUGUUGCUGUCAUGAUAUGAAAGAUUCCAGUAAUGAACGCACUUGAGUUGAUUCAAGCACGCUUCCAUGGUCAUGAGCUCUGUGGUUGCAUCUGUGUGUUAGGAGCAUGCAGACCAAUAUUUUUGUGUAUUUCUUUGUUAAUACAUUAAUAAAUAAACAAAUUUAGAUGGGAAUAGAGAAAGAGGGCUGAUCCUGGACCAGUGAUGACCACUGGUGGCAUAUGAGUCAUACACAUGAACACCAUGUUUCUAGAACUCUGAGGUCCAACACAAAUGGGAUCUAGUCCAUUCCUCCUUUGUGAAGGGAUCCAAUGGACAGAUAUCAGGAUAUGCAAGGAUCUUUUUCGGGAUUUUUGUGUUAGUAUUUAAAAAAUAUUAUUGUAAAAUAAUCAAGGGCAGGAUAAAUAAAUGAAUGUAUAAAUGAACAGAAAUGAAGAGAGUGAAGCAUUGUUUAUUGCUAAAAUAUGUAAUAAAGAAAAUGGAUUAUUAGUAUAAGUUAGAAUGGAUAAUAUAUGGAUCGAGUUUAUUAUGUCUUGGAUUAAAGAUGAGUCAACUGUGAUGGAUAAUAGUUAUUACUCUCAGUUACAUGUUUGAAGUUCAUUUUAUUGAGAGAAAAAUAAGCAAAUAUUCCUAUAAAUUAUUAUUAUUAUUAUUAUUACUUUGAGAUGGAGUUUUGCUCUUGUUGCCCAGGUUGGAGUGCAGUGGCACAAUCUUGGCUCACUGCACCCUCCGCUUCCUGGGUUCAAGUGAUUCCCCUGUCACAGCCUCCCAAGUAGCUGGGAUUACAGGCACCCGCCACCACGCCUGGCUAAUUUUUGUGUUUUUAGUAGAGAUGGGGUUUCACCGUGUUGGCCAGGGUGGUCUCGAACUCCUGACCUCAGGUGAUCCACCCACCUCAGCCUCCCAAAGUGCUGGGAUUACAGGAGUGAGCCACUGCCCUGGUCCCAUAAAUUAUUAAAAACCAAAAAGAUGAUACAAACGAAUAGUGGAAUAUAUCAGUCAGUGGAGAGAAAUUCUCCAUUUUUUAUCAUCUUCUCUGGUUUGUGUGAAGAUGAAUCAGAAUGGAUGCAUCAAGUGGGCUUCUGCUUGAUGGAAACCUGUAUUGCUGUUGCGUUUGGAAAGAAACUAAUGUGAGUAAUAGCCAAAAUUUUUGUCUUCCUUUGGGUACUUGUCUAAAGGUAUUCACAGUAUUAUUAAAAAUUUUAAAUUAUUAUAAAAUUAACCAUGGCCCAAUGGUUAACAUAAUAUAGAACAGUAUGUUUAUUAAUCAAUAAUGUGCCACACAGAGGUGAAUGAAUGAAAGCGACAUUGUCUAAUGUGGAAAAGGAUUCUGUAGACAGAUGCUUGGUAUGUCUGGCAUCAUGUUCAUAGGUUUUUGUGAAUCAUGUUCUUAUUUUACUCUUAUAAAUUGAUUAAUGAUUUAUUCAAAACAAAGGUAGAAAUGAGUGAAAAUUGAGACCAAUGAUGGCGUGAGCCAUAUACAAUGAGUAAAACAUGUCUGGACUUUGAUGUCCAACACAAAAGACAUAUAGUCCAUAUUCUUGAUAUAAGGCAUCCUCUAGGCCCAUGUUGGGAAUAUCCGAGGAUCUUGGGCUUGAUCUUUGUGUUCAUAUAUUUUCAUUCUAGUAUUAUAAUUGGACCAGUGAAAUAACCAAUCAAUAAGUAAAUAAAUUAAUGAAGUAUUGUUCAAAUUAAAAAUAUGUAGUGAGCAAAGAAACACUACUAAUAUAUUAUGAAAACACUAAACUCUAAUUUGAAAUACAUUUUACAUGACUCUUACCUCCUUAGCUCAGGAUGGUGUAGAUGGUAUAACUUACAGACACUGUUCAUGUUCUGGAUAGAUGGCGAUUUUGAAUUUGUUCAUUCUCUUAAGAGAAAAAAGUAAUCUAAAUGUGUGAUUACUGAAAUGACUGACUAAAGGUGAAAAGCAAGGAUUAAUGGAGAGAACGUCUCAGAUGUCUGUUCUUCUUCAUUUUAAAAUCAUCUAUUCUGUUCUGUAUUUCUCACACUGGACCCAUCUGAGCUGAUUUAAGAAUUCUCCCAUGGUUAUGACUGUAUGAUUGAAUCUCUGUUAAGACCAAUGUGAGUAAGAGUCAAAAUUUUUGUCAUGGCUUGGGUGGUUUGUUUAAGGAUGUUCAGUAUAUUAUUAAAAAGUGUGAAAUAUAAUCACAAAAGGCCUAAUGUAAACAUCGUAAUUUGGGAUUAAUAUGAAUCAUUAUAUUGAUUAAUGCAUAUAUGAAAAACUGAGGAUAAAUGAUAAAAUUUAAAUACUGACAUGUGAAUAAUGAUGGCUACCUAACAAAUUGGUAUGCUUUUGUUGGAGGUUUGUGAAUCAUAGGCUUUAAAAAAUAUUAUCAGUGAAUUUAUGAAUUAAUCAAUAAAC
ensembl:lncRNA MEG8 maternally expressed 8, small nucleolar RNA host gene